GUGCUCACUUCGGCAGAACAUAUACUAAAAUUGGAAUGAUACAGAGAUUAGCAUGGCCCCUGCACAAGGAUGAUGUGCAAAUUCUUGAAGCGUUCCAUAUUAAA